UUUUCAAUGAUAACGUUGAUAAUAAUUCUAAACAAUAAUCGCGUCAAUCAGUCUAAUUCACGUGGAGUGGAUGUACAUACAUAAUACUGCGUUUCACUUAAAUUAUUAUGUCGUAAAGGCACAAAUGUUUGGUUAAUUUUUAUGUGGUGUUAUUAAGGAAAAACGAAUGCUUUAUAAUAAAUGAAAUGCACGUCGUCGCUCUCGAUAACCCCGAGGAGUAUAGUGUAAAAAAAGUCUAGGCUGACCCAUUAAGUAAUAAUUAAAUAUUGAUGUGUAAUUCGUUUAUGAUCGCUAUAUAUUCAUAUGUCCGGUUUUCAAUAUAAUUAUUAAAAUUUUAUCUCAUGAUUAGUGUAUAAAUAAUAGACAGUAGAUUAAUGUUUGUAAAACUGGAUUUUAAUGAUAUUUUUUAUUGCAACAGAUAUGAAACUGCUAAUUAUAUUCCUAUUUGUCACUAGUUUCAGUUGCUUUUUUUUGCAUGUGAGAGUUAUGGUCUUGGAAUUUUAUAAGCUUAUCAAUCGUCACACCCAAAUAUUUGAUGGCUACAGAUGGACUGAUUGAAUUAGUAUGCAAGGAUCAAUAUCAUGCCAAAGUACAGUGCUUGGUAGGCAAAAGUGUAAACUUUCCAGAAACCGCGAAACAAAAUGGGCCCAAGAACAGAGCCCUGAAGAAUACCGGCGUCAACGAGUAGCAUACUAGACUUAGUGCUAUGUGUUCUACUGGAAAGGCUUUUGAGAAAUUUUCCUGAAGCAACAGAAAACCGUCAAGAAAUAAAACGUAUGAUUCCAAGGGUCACGGAUGCUCCCCUAUCAAUGAAUCAAUUUAUCUGCAUCUGAAGGACCUAUAAUUUUCUGGCCUUUGAAGACGUUGUAAAUUAUUUCCGGUCAUUUGAAGCCGUCUCUACGAAAAAGUUACAAAAAUGAUGAUUUUUUCCUACCAAGCGUUUGAAAUCUGGAAGAAAUAAAAUUUAAAGUUGUAUCUUAAACUAGUCCACACUUUUGGAUUUUAAUUUUAUUCCUUGAAUUAUUGUGGGAUGAACUGGAUAGACAAGUGCGAAAAUCAUGCCCUACAUCAAAAGAAGACUUGUGGAGGAGCAUCCAAGGAGAGUGGCACAAGUUACCUCAGGAAACUUUGGACAAAUGAAUUAGAAGACUACCGAAACUCUGUGAAGCUGUUAUUAAAAAUCGAGGCGGACAUGUAGAUGAAUCCAAAAUUUGAUUUUCUUAAAUUUAAUUAAUUGAAAAAUGUAUUGUUUAUAUUCAUUUUGUUAUAAAUAAACCCUUUCAUAAGAAUAA